CCAUUAAAAAUUAAAAUAUCAUUCGGCCUAGCCUAAUCCCCACUUGGCCCACCGCUCAAACCAUUUGAAAGCCUACCAGCUUGCACCUUUUUCAUUUUUAGAUUACCAGACCCUGUAGACGGUACAAGAGAAAUAGAAUUAGUAAAAUUACAACAUUGAUCCUUGUCUUUUUGCAAAAAAUUUCCAGAUCCCAUAGGCCUUUUCCCCAUUGAUUUGGACCCGAUUUUCCCCCUGCUCAGGUCUGCUCUAGCAUUGUCCAGGCCACUUACCCCUGAGCCCAAAACAGGCCUAACCACAUCCACGGAGCCCGCAUCAGCCCAUGGUCCACUUCCUCUAAAUCCCCCAAAACCCUUUUGACUAAAGCUCUAUUCUCUUUAGAAUUACCUUCUAGAAUAACUUGGAUCUUUCCUUUUCCACUCACAAAACCCCCCAACGAAUGCAUUCAGACCACCGCCUAAACUAUUUCCCUCAACUAAAGGCGUGAAUCUAGAUCCCAACGGAUCUUUGCCUAAAAUAUCAUCCCCUUUUACCCUAGAGUUACGUGAUCUCCUCUGUGAUCUUUUCUCAACUAACAUCCAUCGUCCGAAAUCAUUGUUCUUUCCAUCUUCACCACCCCCGACCGUUACACCAGAAGCCAUCUCCGGCGAGGCUUUCAUUCCUUCAAAAAAGUCUUCGACCUCUCCAAAACCGCACCAACACCUGCCGCCGAACAUAACUCUUUAACGUGCCCAUAUCGUCCACAGUUGAAACAAACUGUCGGUAGAGAUUCAUACUCUACCCGUUAGAUGUCCCCGUCGACCAAAUCCUUAAAGAUAAGAGGUUGAUCAAGAUUGACAAACACAGCCAAUCGGGCAAACCUUCCUCGAGUACUUUUGUCAGUUUGAAAAUCUAAUUUGACUACUUUACCAAUUAAACCCCUAAUUGCUUCGAUGAUUUGCCUCUUGUAAAGGUAGCCCGGAAGCCCUAGCAGACGGAUCCAAGCCAACACCACACUGGGGUAAGGUUGUGUUGGAUUAAACGACCUCGUCCAAGGCUGCACAAUGAGGUAUUUCCCGAAAAAUAUCCACGAACCUUGAGUUAAAACUUUAUUUUAAUCUUCCAUGUCCUGAAACUUAACAAAAAAAUAACCAUUCGUGAUAUCCAUUAGAUGAAAGGAUUUUGUAGUGUUUCCAGAGGUUGAGUAUGCAAUUAUAAAGCACGUUAUAGCCAAUGUUUCGCCCGAGUAAUUUAAGAACAAUCGUUGAUUCCAUCUCCUUGGAGAGAAUAUCUUUGAUGCGCUCCGAAAAAGCGAUGGCCGGAAUCCCGUUAACCAUUGAGGUAUUCAUGUCACCAUCCAGAAUUUCUAAACCACCAUCGUCCCUUCCAAGAUUCCUUGCUAGAUUUCUAUCGGGGGAAGCCACCCCUCCUCCCAAAAGUUUCUCUUUGAAUGACAUCAUCGGCUGUUGCUCAGAAUCCACCACCAUACAAGUUUCUUCAGUACCUUCGACAUCUUUGAAACGUACUUUUUUGGUAUUCCGAUCACCGUCGUCAUAAGGAUUACUCAUUUUCUAGGAUUCAGAAUAAAGAAAAUUAUUUAAUACAUCGUCGGUUAGGAAAAUCCCCUUUAUUGUGGUUUGGUUGUGAUUUUAUAACAAGACUUUAAUUAUAGUGAAAUUUUUUAUGAACUUUCAAAGUCCCGUAAUUUUUACCCUUUACUUUAAAGGGGUUUUUCAUAUAAAAAUUGUGUGUUUCGAUUUAUUAUUUUUACUUAUGAUAUUAUGAUUUAUUUGGACCCAUUGUUAAUAUUUAUUGUAUUAUGAAAUUUUUUAUAAUUAUUAAAUUAAUGUUUUAAAAAGGAAAUAAUACCGAUUAUGCUUCCGUGAUUUUUCGUCGUGUUGGGAUUCGUCCCAAAUACUAAAUAAAAACUUGCCUACAAAUUUGUUAUUUUAUGUUUUUUUAAAUUUCACUUAUACCGUUCAAAUGAAUUAUCAACUAUAAAUGAUAAAAUGAAGACUACUACUUAUUCAAUUUAUAAAUAAAAAAUUGCAGGAGCCAUCGUGUAAGUAAACAUUGCAUGUGGUCAAGAUUAAUACACAUACAUUGUCAAAAGAUCUCUCUCCAAUCCCUGCUUUCAGGCUUGUGUAGGAAUUCUAUUAACAGGACAAUUCAUAGUAUCAUUUUCAUCCAAUACAUCCAACAUGAUAAAUGAUAUUAUUAAUCACUUUCAUUGUCAUUUUAUAUAAUAGUAUUUAUAUCAACUAUUAGUGUAUGGAAUGAUGACUUGUAACUCUUUACAAUUGAUUUUCGGACUAAAUUAAAUUAAGAAAUAAAUACAGAAGUUAAAUACUUUUAAAACUCAUUUACAAAUAAAAAAAAAAUUAAUCUUGCUAAUUCAGUUAAACUUGACCUCGGUCAUUAUGGUUCCACAAUCUAAUUAGUAUGAUAUAUAGAACCAUAAAAUUAGACCCUUUUGAUUCUAUUACACCAAUUCUAAAUAUAAGUAAGAUGGUGUAUUCUCAAGAUAAUAAAAUGAUGAAUGAUUGGGUUCCAGUAACAUGUCAAUAAAGCCAAUAAAAAAAAUGCUUUUAGGCAUGAGUUUAAACUAUCAUAUCACUCCUACAUUUGAGUUUAAAUUGUUAAUCUUAAGGAAAAUAUUGUUCCUCCAAAAAAUGAAGUUCUUGAGCACGAGAUUAAACUACAUGUUUAAAAAUAUUUUAAAAAAAUGUCAAGUCAAUAUUACUCGAUCUUCAAUAUACAAAGAUAUAUUAAUCUUUUUUUAUUGCGAAUUUCAAUUUAAAUGAAGAAAAAAAAAAUUCUUCACCUUGUCAAGAUAUUUUGAAAAUAAUUUUUAGAAACAAAUCGAGUUUCACAACUUGCCUACUUUCUAUGCUCAACAAAAGUUGUGUAUAUGACCAAGAAUAGGCAUUUGUAGAAGAAAAUUUUUGAAAACAAAUAAAAUUUUAUUAAGUGUCAUUAUUUAUUAUAUCUAACUAAAUUAAAUUAAAUUAAUUAAGCCAUAAAUAAAGAGGUAAAAUCAUUUUAGAACUCUUUUAUAAAGAAAUCAUAUUCCUCAAGGAUUAAUUUAUCUCUAAUUAAUUUAAAUUAAUACGAGAUAAAUAAUAAAUAAAAGAGCUUAAUCAAUGUAGAUAAUUUAAACUAAAGAAGCUAUAGAAAUAAUAACUCUUUUCUACUUGAUUAACUAACACUAUGGAAGGGAAUUGCCUCCAAGCCAUUUAAUACAACUUCAUAAAUUCAGAAGUCUAGAAGUACAAAAUAUAAAACUUGAAGAGAAAAUUCUUUAAGACUAAAAAUUCUUUUCAAAAUCCAAAUAAAUCUUUGAAGAAAUCAAAGAACUAGUAGAAAUUCUAAAGAACAUCACAUUAGAUUCUAAAGAAAGUUGCUCUUCGAUCUUGUCCAAUUAAUAAAAAGGUAGCUAAACUCGUUCUUUGAGAUCAAACCUAGAAGUACCUUAAAGCAUAAUUAUCCAUUCAAGAUCAAUUUUAGAAGAUACUUAGAUUAAAGCUAUCCUUAUACAUGCACAGACAGGAUGAAAUUUAUUAAAUUCCAAUCACCAAAGCUGCCAAUUUUCAAGCUUGGAAAAUCAGCAGACUUGCGACGACUUUUUGGAUGGGAUCCUAGCAUUUCUAGGUUGUUAUGUCUCACGGCAUUCAAAGAUCUAUCUCUUAUCUUCGAAACGUAUUUUGAAUCACUAGAUUUUGAGCUCAAGAGCUUAAGUUAUGACCGUUUCAAUGAAGACUAUGCGAGCAGAAUUUCUAAAC
rnacentral:lncRNA from 1 species